GACGAACGCUGGCGGCGUGCUUAACACAUGCAAGUCGAACGGUGAAGGGACCGGUUUUUGCUGGUUCUGGAUGAGUGGCGAACGGGUGAGUCACACGUGAGUAACCUUCCCCCUUCUGCUGGAUUACCGCAUGUAAGUGUAGCUCAUACGGGAUAUUCUGCGCCUGCUGCAUGGUUUGGGUGGGAUCGAUCUUGGUUCGUGGGGUGAUGGGCUCGCGGCCUGUCGGCGUGUUGGUGGGGUGAUGGGCUAUGAAGGCGGUGACUGGUAGCCGGCCUGAGAGGGUGGACGGCCACAGAGGGACAGAGACACGGCUCAGACUGCUACGGGAGGCAGCAGUGGGGAAUAGUGCACAGUGGGGGCAAGCACGAUGCAGCGGCGACGCGUGAGGGAUGGAGGCCUUCGGGUUGUAAACGUCUUUCGCCAGUGAAGCAGGCCUGUCCCUUUUGUAGGUGGGUUGACGGUAGCUGGAUAAGAAGCGCCGGCUAACUACGUG
rnacentral:rRNA from 1 species